rnacentral:rRNA from 1 species
UACAGAGGUGGCAAGCGUUGUUCGGAAUUACUGGGCGUAAAGGGCGAGUAGGUGGCCAUCUAAGUCAGACGUGAAAUCCCCCGGCUUAACCUGGGAACUGCGUCUGAUACUGGACGGCUUGAGUAUGGGAGAGGAACGUAGAAUUCCAGGUGUAGCGGUGAAAUGCGUAGAUAUCUGGAGGAAUACCGGUGGCGAAGGCGGCAUCCUGGACCGGCAUUGACGCUGAGGAGCGAAAGCCAGGGGAGCAAACGGG